rnacentral:rRNA from 1 species
GAUUGACCACCCUGGCCCGCGGCUUAUCGGUCGUGAGUGCUGGUGUGAGUCUGUCAUCCUUCUAGAGAGCCAUGCCUGCUGUUCACUCAGCUGGGCGUGUGCGAUCUAGAUCAUUUACUUUGAAAAAAUUAGAGUGUUUAAAGCAGGCUUAUGCUGUGAAUACAUUAGCAUGGAAUAAUAAUAUAGGACUUCGGUUCUAUUUUGUUGGUUUCUAGGACUGAAGUA